CGUAUAUAAAACUAUAACAUCAGGAAUUAAAUCUUCGGCAACGUGUUUGCAACAUGGUGUACUUAAUAUUCCUGAUGAAAGUCAUUUAGUGAUGAAAUCAGCCGCUUAUUUGCUGCCUCACAUAUUAAAGAAAAUAAAAGAUCAAAGGAAAUUUCUAAUAGUGGGUUAUUCGUUUGGAUCCUUAAUUGCCAUUGAAUUAGCAAAGAUUAUUAGAAGCUAAAGAUUUCUCAGGACGGUUAAUAUUAAUAGACGAAACUCCCGAUCAAAUAAAAUUUUGGACUAAUCAAUAUUUGGACUGUACUUCGCCAGAUGAGUUACAAAAUGUGGUAUUACUUGGUUUAUUG